rnacentral:lncRNA from 1 species
GUCAGCAUCUCAGACAGGAGCAAUGAGCAUACAGCGAGAACAAGUCACGGGACGUGAGAGUCCGUCGUCCAAACGCUAAGGUUACUGAGCCAAUAUGGGCCAAGUAGUGGGUCAGCUAUGUAUGGGUCGCUUGAUGUUCUAGCAGUACUAUAUAAAAGACAAACACUUGUGUAAUAGGGCAUGAACAAUUUAGCUAUCAAACAUCAGACAAACUCGUCUUCCUCCCAGCUAUUCCCUUCUCCAAGUCUCAUUCUCCUCUGAGCUCUUCCUCUCCGAUCCCCCUUCUCAGGUGUUGCUAACAUUUGGUAUCAGACUAGGACUCGAUCUCGAUGGAGAUCGCGAUGCAGGAUAUUCUAGACGCACUGGCGCGCAUGGAGGCACGCUUGACCGAUGCGCUGGUGGGUCGCUGAGGCGAGCAGUACGCACGCGAGCACACUUCCCCCUUCGACGGAUCCGCGCCUCCUUCUUCCAUCGUCAACACACAGUACCGCGACGAGGCAAUCCUUUCGCCUCUCGUCCACGACGACGCUGCGAAGGUGGCGUCCUUGGAUUCAGGAAACAACUUUGGCCUACAGCAGACCGCCACGGUGCUUGCGUUCCUGGGGUCCGACGAGAUGCCUUCAUCGACCACGCUCCUCGCUGGCUCGGUAUUCGACCGCUUCAUCCCGCCACUCUACGACGACGACCGCUACACCACGCCACAAUCGUCUAUCGGUACUAUCGCCAACCCUGACGACGACCUCCUCUAGGAGCUCGAUGGGUUGGACGAGGACGCCGCGAGCGCCAACGCGGCUGACGAUGAUUCAGACGCUGUCCACGUCCAUGCGCCGCUCAACCCCGACGUGAUGCUCGACUCGAACGUCGACACUAGUGGAUCACCGUGCUACCCGUGCCUCCCCGAGGGCGCGACGCUGUUCCGUCGGAACCCGGAUGAGAAGAUCCACGAUGGGCUCAUCGGCGGCAUCAGCCAGCACAUCUGGAGCAUCACGGACGAGGUCGAACACACGACCUCAGGGCUGGUCCAGACGCUCAUCGCCAUCGACAGGCACUUCGACCUCAUCAUCAAGGCGAGGAUCAAGCACUUGGAUCCGUUACCUCCGCUCGUCCCCAACACCGACGCAGAGGAGGAGGUUCUCACGACCACGUCCACCAGGUGUUCGAGAAUGGGCCUCAACCGUGGCGCAUACUUCGUCCCCAACCUCCUCGUGGUCUGCAUCAUGGGCGCGCCCAAAUCCAACGAAUACAGCACCAACCGCGUCCUGCACCGCACGCGGCUACAGCGCCGUCCGCUCCAGCACCUGACCGUCGACCCUGUCAGCGCCGUCCACGGCGGCGACGACUAUGAGCUGUCCCACAGCGAGUCAGGCAGUGUUCUCGCGAUCGCCGCGUUUCCCAACUCGCACGAGAAGAUCCGUUGUCAGCUCGUCAACAGGACGAGGCUGGCCCGCGACGUCCGCCUCAUCUUAUCCCUGACAUCGUUGAACAAGGUGCUCAGCCUUCACAUGAGCACACAUGACUUCGACUGCGCCAGCGUCGACAGGAAGUCUUGCUUGCGGGCGUACACGCCGACGAGCAUGGAGGACGAGGUUGGCCACUUCAGCCUCGACGCCAAGGAGUACAUCCUGGAUGAGCACUCCAAGUUCCUCAACGGCGAGCUCAUGAACCAACUCCUGGACCCGCUCCCCCUCGAUCCUUACAUCGAAGCUGCUCUAUCCCCGGUUUCUUCUAUCGUAUAGUUGGUGGUGUCGGCAGAGGAGGAGGUUAUGACCAACUCGCCCAACAGGUGUUUGAUGAUUUGCUUCAACCUCUUACAAAGAUGUUUCAGCUGGGAUGCAGCACCACAUCGUCAGCCUUGGCCACCACCUCAUAUUCAUGUUGAGUUUUGGUGUGGCAGUGCUGCUCUACGUCCAAUUCCAUGGCCACCACCCACUUCCUUGGAUAGUUUGUAUACUAAAGAAUUCUAUUGUAGAGUGCAAUUUCCUGGAUUUGGUAGAACCUUUGUGUUCAAUGCAGAGAUUCUAAAAAGAGUUGGACGUACAUCUGAAGCCAAAAAUUCAUCUCGCGUGGCUCUGAAAUCAUCAUGGGGGACACUUGGCUGCAGUCAUGAAGAGGCUGCUGAAUUAGCUUCUUUGGUGGAUGGAUAUCAGUUAAUGCGUGCAGCGUCAGCAUCUGAUCGGGUGUCUUCGCUGAAGAAUUAUCACCACACACUAGGGUUAUGCGACCAUUGGGCUGAGAAGAGGUUUAAUGGUCACAAAUGUGUGCAGUUCCACGCCAUCGAAGAGGUCUGUGAAUUUUUAUGUAUGGAGGGUAGUCCAGAACAGAAACCAGACUCAAAUGACCAGUUGAUAUUGACGCUAUAUUGUACAGCGUGGUCAGGAGCGCAUGCGGCUGCUACAUUUUGUCUUCGAGAUUCGAUUCAGCAGCAAGACGUAUUGGUACUGGGUGAUCAGGCAUCGUUUGUCAAGGAAAUCACGACAAUCGUUUGUCGAGCUGGUUCAGGAAUUGGUAUGGCUGUUGGCCUUGUUUCUUCUAGUCUAGGUGCCGUCACUAGUGGCCAAGGCAAUUUCAAAGUCUUAGUUUGGGAUCCCGGUGGUUAUGCAUAUCACAGCUUGGAGACAAGCUGUAUUUCAAGCGGUGGGGAAUGUCAGCAUCUCAGACAGGAGCAAUGAGCAUACAGCGAGAACAAGUCACGGGACGUGAGAGUCCGUCGUCCAAACGCUAAGGUUACUGAGCCAAUAUGGGCCAAGUAGUGGGUCAGCUAUCUAUGGGUCGCUUGAUGUUCUAGCAGUACUAUAUAAAAGACAAACACUUGUGUAAUAGGGCAUGAACAAUUUAGCUAUCAAACAUGAGACAAACUCGUCUUC